rnacentral:rRNA from 1 species
GACGAACGCUGGCGGCGUGCUUAACACAUGCAAGUCGAACGGAAAGGCCCUGCUUUUGUGGGGUGCUCGAGUGGCGAACGGGUGAGUAACACGUGAGUAACCUGCCCUUGACUUUGGGAUAACUUCAGGAAACUGGGGCUAAUACCGGAUAGGAGCUCCUGCUGCAUGGUGGGGGUUGGAAAGUUUCGGCGGUUGGGGAUGGACUCGCGGCUUAUCAGCUUGUUGGUGGGGUAGUGGCUUACCAAGGCUUUGACGGGUAGCCGGCCUGAGAGGGUGACCGGCCACAUUGGGACUGAGAUACGGCCCAGACUCCUACGGGAGGCAGCAGUGGGGAAUAUUGCACAAUGGGCGGAAGCCUGAUGCAGCAACGCCGCGUGCGGGAUGACGGCCUUCGGGUUGUAAACCGCUUUCGCCUGUGACGAAGCGUGAGUGACGGUAAUGUGUAAAGAAGCACCGGCUAACUACGUGCCAGCAGCCGCGGUGAUACGUAGGGUGCGAGCGUUGUCCGGAUUUAUUGGGCGUAAAGGGCUCGUAGGUGGUUGAUCGCGUCGGAAGUGUAAUCUUGGGGCUUAACCCUGAGCGUGCUUUCGAUACGGGUUGACUUGAGGAAGGUAGGGGAGAAUGGAAUUCCUGGUGGAACGGUGGAAUGCGCAGAUAUCAGGAGGAACACCAGUGGCGAAGGCGGUUCUCUGGGCCUUUCCUGACGCUGAGGAGCGAAAGCGUGGGGAGCGAACAGGCUUAGAUACCCUGGUAGUCCACGCUGUAAACGGUGGGUACUAGGUGUGGGGUCCAUUCCACGGGUUCCGUGCCGUAGCUAACGCUUUAAGUACCCCGCCUGGGGAGUACGGCCGCAAGGCUAAAACUCAAAGGAAUUGACGGGGCCCCGCACAAGCGGCGGAGCAUGCGGAUUAAUUCGAUGCAACGCGUAGAACCUUACCUGGGUUUGACAUGGAUCGGGAGUGCUCAGAGAUGGGUGUGCCUCUUUUGGGGUCGGUUCACAGGUGGUGCAUGGCUGUCGUCAGCUCGUGUCGUGAGAUGUUGGGUUAAGUCCCGCAACGAGCGCAACCCUUGUUCACUGUUGCCAGCACGUUAUGGUGGGGACUCAGUGGAGACCGCCGGGGUCAACUCGGAGGAAGGUGGGGAUGACGUCAAGUCAUCAUGCCCCUUAUGUCCAGGGCUUCACGCAUGCUACAAUGGCUGGUACAGAGAGUGGCGAGCCUGUGAGGGUGAGCGAAUCUCGGAAAGCCGGUCUCAGUUCGGAUUGGGGUCUGCAACUCGACCUCAUGAAGUCGGAGUCGCUAGUAAUCGCAGAUCAGCAACGCUGCGGUGAAUACGUUCCCGGG